UGUAGGAGCGCGCUUGCCCGCGAACGGGGUGGGUCAGCUACGGAUAUGCAGCUGAUCCAACGCAUUCGCGGGCAAGCGCGCUCCUAAACAUGAUUUG
rnacentral:pre_miRNA from 1 species